UACGAAGGGGGCUAGCGUUGCUCGGAUUGACUGGGCGUAAAGGGCGCGUAGGCGGUUCGUACAGUCAGACGUGAAAUUCCUGGGCUCAACCUGGGGGCUGCGUUUGAUACGUGCGGACUUGAGUGCGGAAGAGGGUCGUGGAAUUCCCAGUGUAGAGGUGAAAUUCGUAGAUAUUGGGAAGAACACCGGUGGCGAAGGCGGCGACCUGGUCCGAUACUGACGCUGAGGCGCGAAAGCGUGGGGAGCAAACGGG
rnacentral:rRNA from 1 species